GACGAACGCUGGCGGCGUGCUUAACACAUGCAAGUCGAACGGAAAGGCCCUGCUUUUGUGGGGUGCUCGAGUGGCGAACGGGUGAGUAACACGUGAGUAACCUGCCCUUGACUUUGGGACAACUUCAGGAAACUGGGGCUAAUACCGGAUAGGAGCUCCUGCUGCAUGGUGGGGGUUGGAAAGUUUCGGCGGUUGGGGAUGGACUCGCGGCUUAUCAGCUUGUUGGUGGGGUAGUGGCUUACCAAGGCUUUGACGGGUAGCCGGCCUGAGAGGGUGACCGGCCACAUUGGGACUGAGAUACGGCCCAGACUCCUACGGGAGGCAGCAGUGGGGAAUAUUGCACAAUGGGCGGAAGCCUGAUGCAGCAACGCCGCGUGCGGGAUGACGGCCUUCGGGUUGUAAACCGCUUUCGCCUGUGACGAAGCGUGAGUGACGGUAAUGGGUAAAGAAGCACCGGCUAACUACGU
rnacentral:rRNA from 1 species